rnacentral:tRNA from 1 species
AGAGUUCAGUAUAUAGAACGAGGGUCUCUAAAACCCAAUGGUGAAGGUUCAAAUCCUACU